CAACAAGCUAGCUUUGGGGGUUCAGAUUAUAUUCAUAGUCCUAUACUUACCAAUAUCGAUUUUAUCCCGAUAUUUAUUUAUAUUGGGUUAAAAUCACAAUAUAGACCGUGCCAUCGUUUUCUGCUAUGCCUAUGAUCAUCCCUCUCGUCUUCUUUAUUGUGGUAGAUUAUGAUGGGGGUCCAAUCAUUCAUGCAAUUUAUAAAAUAAUUUAGAAUUUUUGAUUACAACAAUAUCAAUAUGACAAUAAGACAUUAUGCAUCCUUUUCUAACGACCAGUAGUAUAACAUAAAAUUGUAAAUACUAAAUAAUUAUAAUUGUAUAAGCAGUAAGAAGUAUCAUAUACAAAUAAGGCAAGAAAUGUACUGAGUACUUUUAAUAGUAAUUUUUAUUGAGUAAUUUUGUUAAUUGAAAUGUACAUAUCAACAUAGUCCUAUACUUACCAAUAUCGAUUUUAUCCCGAUAUUUAUUUAUAUUGGGUUAAAAUCACAAUAUAGACCGUGCCAUCGUUUUCUGCUAUGCCUAUGAUCAUCCCUCUCGUCUUCUUUAUUGUGGUAGAUUAUGAUGGGGGUCCAAUCAUUCAUGCAAUUUAUAAAAUAAUUUAGAAUUUUUGAUUACAACAAUAUCAAUAUGACAAUAAGACAUUAUGCAUCCUUUUCUAACGACCAGUAGUAUAACAUAAAAUUGUAAAUAUUAUAAAUAAUUAUAAUUGUAUAAGCAGUAAGAAGUAUGAUAUACAAAUAAGGCAAGAAAUGUACUGAGUACUUUUAAUAGUAAUUUUUAUUGAGUAAUUUUGUUAAUUGAAAUGUAAAUAUCAACUUUUAUUUCUUAGACUCGUUUGUAGAUACUAAACUAAUAAUAAAACUGUAUAACCGACACUGAAAUAAUC